UACGGAGGGGACUAGCGUUGUUCGGAAUUACUGGGCGUAAAGCGCACGUAGGCGGAUUUGUAAGUCAGGGGUGAAAUCCCGGGGCUCAACCCCGGAACUGCCUUUGAUACUGCGAAUCUCGAGUCCGGAAGAGGUGAGUGGAAUUCCUAGUGUAGAGGUGAAAAUUCGUAGAUAUUAGGAAGAACACCAGUGGCGAAGGCGGCUCACUGGUCCGGUACUGACGCUGAGGUGCGAAAGCGUGGGGAGCAAACAGG
rnacentral:rRNA from 1 species